rnacentral:lncRNA from 1 species
AGCAAGUGCAGACACGCCCAGCUGGGAGGCCAUACUUUUGUACUUGUAUGUUUGCACCAAUGGAUAGAGUUACCCUGCUGCCCACAAGCCUCCAAGAAUGAAGAGAAACAGCAUUCAUCUGUUUCCUUACAAGGCAGCUCCGGAAGUCCUCUUACAAGGAAAAAAGAAGAAGAGGCUGCUGAUCGAACUUCUGAAACCAGAGGCAAGCAAGCCAGUCCCUGGGUGAAGGACAUGGUGGUCUUGUGCUGCUGAACCACAGCUGGCUGGAAACAUGAGAGCACAGCCCCCUCCAGAAGCCUCACCCUCCUUCUCAGGACAAUUACUUAUUCUGUCAACUCCAC